rnacentral:rRNA from 1 species
AUGCCUAACACAUGCAAGUCGAACGAACCCUUCGGGUUAGUGGCGCACGGGUGGCUAACGCGUGGGAACCUGCCUUUAGGUUCGGAAUAACUCAGAGAAAUUUGAGCUAAUACCGGAUAAUGUCUUCGGACCAAAGAUUUAUCGCCUUUAGAUGGGCCCGCGUUAGAUUAGAUAGUUGGUGGGGUAAUGGCCUACCAAGUCGACGAUCUAUAGCUGGUCUGAGAGGAUGAUCAGCCACACUGGGACUGAGACACGGCCCAG